ACUUUAAAAAUGAAGAAACUGAGGCAAACAGGGACACAACAGGAAAAGAAAAUCUUCUGUCUUACAAUGUGACAAGAGAAAAAACAGCCCAUACAUUGAAAGCAAUGAAAGACUUUGAUGAAGUGCCAUCUUCAAAGAAAGUCAAGGAGGAAACUGAAGACGUGACAUCCAUGAAGAAAGAAAAAACUCCCAUCAGUUUCUUCCAGUGUGUCUACUUGGAUGGAUAUAAUGGAUAUGGAUUCCAAUUUCCUGUUACACCAGCACACCAGUCUGGAAGCUCCAGUCACUCAAAGUCACCAGAACAGAAGCAGCAAGGGCAAUAGGCAUGCAUGUAUGGUCCAAGAUUCUGAAUGUUAGAUCUGCCCUACUGACUCAUUGGGUCAUUUGUAUUAGCAAACAUUUUAUUUCUUCAUCUGGUACUAUGAGAGAAUGUGGACAAGGUGAUUGAAAAACAAAGUGGGCAUAUUGAAGCACUUCAUGUCAAAACCAGUGCUCAAAGAGCUCCUGAAAACUAGAAAUUGUUAAAUUGUGUGAUUUUUAUCAUUACUGUGUGUGCAUUUAAUUGCCUGUACAAUUCCACUUUCUUUUUCACUAGAGUACAGGUUUUCUUGUAACAUGGAUAAUUUUUCAAUCCUGUGUAAAACUAAGCUUUGAGUCACUCAGUAAUAGCUUAAUAUUUUUUACACAUACUUACAUUUAACUUGUGGCCACAGAAUCAGGCCACGUUUACUACAUCAUUUUGUUUCAGAUUCUCAUGGCCCUCCUUCAGUGCUCAAAAAAAAGUAAAAUAUGCCAUAUAAUACAAUCCAAGACACAUUCAUCAAACAUCUAUUGUAUGCUAUGAGCACUAUGAUAGGUAAUGAGGAUACAGAGACAUAUAUGAAACAGUCCUUGCCCACAAGGAGUUUACAUUCUACUGUCUAAUAAACAUAUCUACAGUUUAAGUAAUACCAUAUUCACCAGCAGCACUGCACAAUUCAUUUGGACAAUUCUGGUGGAUUGUUUGUUUACUAUUUUUAAGCCAACGUAGCAUGACAUUUCCAGACAUCUCCAGACAGCAUUAUAUAACCAAUAAUAUAAAAAUGCUAACUGGAAGAAACUUCAUAAUAAUUACUGAGAAAAGUUAAUAGAUAAACAUUUUCAUUCACUUUGAUAAAUCCUUUCUGAGGAGUUUGAGGAGUUUUCUCUCUCAAAGUGGAACUAUAUGAAUGUCAACAAAGAUGGAGGAAGGCACUUCAGAUGGAAGUGCUACUCCCAGAACAUUUUAUUUUUUCUAGACAGUCAAUCAUUAGUGCUAGGAAAGGGAUGACACAACUUUGAAAUCCAUGAAAGUGUUUCACUGAAAAUGGGAUGUUGUUAGUUGUGCUCCCUUUUGGCCUCCCUGGAGCUAUAAAUACCAAUGUUUUUGACCACAUUUCUCCAUGGACUCUAAAAUCCAUAUAGCUUUGACCUUCAAAACACUUAAGGUUCUUAUCUGGUUUAUGAAAAAGCAACUCAGAAAAUAGUUAUUCUUGCUAUACCUUAACUUCAUUUCAAAGGUUUGGGACAGACAGAUUCAACACUAACUUAGAUAAAUCAUUGAUUUUCAUGGGAUGUGGAUGGGAUCCUAACCAAUAGGUUAGGAAACUAAAGAUUAGUUUACAAGCAAGUCCUUAAGCAGGCACUUAUUCAUUGCUAUGAAUAAUUAUUCUGUGAAUAACUUGGUGGUCUUAGGCCAUAUGAUAAUGUCACUCUUGCAACUGUCCCAAAUGUUACUGUUGCAACUAAUCCACUCCUUAUAGUGGGACCCAGUUUAGGUCAAUUCAAAACUAAGUUGACUUACUCAUUAAAGGAUAGUCACUUUCUCUAAGGUGGAGUUGAAGUAUAUGGAUGGGGCAAUGUGUGAUGUUUACUUUGUAAUCACUUGUUCCAUACCUGUUUCAUGGAUGAAUAGAAGAAUUUAUAGCUAAUUUCAUAGUAUUAUAAUCUCUAAGACUUUGUAAAACAGCAUGGGCUAGUGAAUAAAAGGGAUUAGAUUCUCUUUUCAAUGCUGCCUGAGAUAAACCACUCAAAUUCCCUACCUCAUUCAUCAGUCUAUAAAAUGGAGGACAAAAAAAUGUUGCCAUGGUAUUCCCCCAGAAAGAUUACAA